rnacentral:piRNA from 1 species
CAUUCAAGGUGCAUCAGACUAAAC